UCAAAAUUCAAAUACAGAAACCACUAUAGUGGCAAAACUAUCGAUAUUUGUAGAAUUUACACGUUUUUCAGCACUGGAAUCGAAAGACAAACGUUUACCCACACUGCCGCAAUCGCGAACAAUUUUUUUAUUAUGGCACUUGCGCGGCUCACAAACAAAAUUCGCUGAUAAAAAUCCAUUGGAAGCCAAUUGCCGAACGUCGAGGACUCAAUCAAUUAAAGUGUCCGCUUAAAAAGAUCGCCGCGCAGGAAGCGGAAGUGCCCCAAAACAGCUAUUUUUCCCGCCGCUUUCUCCCCCAUCACCACCCGCAAAACAAGGGACGCCGAUCGAAACAUUUAGUUUGUGCAAGUAGCUGAAACCCACACGGUCGACCAUCAAAUAUUAUGAAAUGGACAAUGCCCUCGGCCAUGAGUGGCGCGGCACAUGCCCACAUACCCAGCAACGAGGAGUGCGGCAUCCGCGACGUGUGGAAGCAUAACCUGGAGGAGGAGUUCCGCACCAUACGGAAAGUGGUGCAGAAGUACCACUAUGUGGCCAUGGACACCGAGUUUCCGGGCGUGGUAGCACGUCCCGUCGGCGAGUUCCGCUCCACGGCGGACUAUCAUUACCAGCUGUUGCGCUGCAAUGUCGAUCUGCUGCGGAUCAUUCAGUUGGGCCUGACCUUCAUGGACGACGAUGGAAAGACACCACCCGGCUACUCCACCUGGCAGUUCAACUUCAAGUUUAACCUGAGCGAGGACAUGUAUGCGCAGGACUCAAUCGAUCUGCUGCAGAACUCCGGAAUUCAGUUCAAGAAGCACGAGGAGGAUGGCAUCGAUCCCAUCGACUUCGCCGAGCUGCUCAUGAGCUCCGGCAUCGUGCUGGUGGACAACAUCAAGUGGCUGUGCUUCCACUCCGGCUACGAUUUUGGCUACCUUCUAAAGCUGCUCACCGAUCAGAACCUGCCUUCGGACGAGGGUGAAUUUUUCGAGCUGCUGCACAUCUACUUUCCCAACAUCUUCGACAUCAAGUAUCUGAUGAAGUCGUGCAAGAACCUGAAGGGCGGUCUGCAGGAGGUGGCCGAUCAGCUGGAACUGCGGCGCGUGGGCCCCCAGCAUCAGGCCGGCUCGGAUGCGUUGCUGACGGGCAUGGCCUUCUUCAAAAUGCGUGAGCGCUUUGCUGACAUAUGUUUCCACACGGUUCACUGUGUGUAUCAGCGUAGCAAGAACUUUACCUUCUAGAGAACUGCCGAAUAGUUUUGAAAUAACAAGAAAAUUGCAGAAUAAAUCCCACCCCCAUACUAACAAUCAUAAAUAUGAAACUUACUAGUAUAAAAACCUCAUCCAAUCACAUCGGUGUACGAUGUUCUUUGAGGACAACAUCGACCACGCCAAGUACUCCGGACACCUGUACGGCCUGGGCACCUCCUUCAUCGUCAACGGCACCAACUUCCAC
rnacentral:misc_RNA from 1 species